UAUAAUUAAAUUCGCUGACAACUAUUUUGUCAUUCAUUACAGAACUAUUGUAAAAUUAUACUAUGAGAAAUUUAAAAUAUCUUAUCCUUAAGGAGAUUUGACUUCAGGAACUAUCUUGCAAAAAUCUAAUGAAGUUUGUGUUUAAUGCAGCAUCUGAUUUUGAUUUAUUCAACAAAUUGGGAUAAGCUCUGGAUACUUAGGAUCACUUUUUAGCUUGUUGAGCAGCUGUGGUAUCUAGUUAAUGGGAUUUUAUGGAACAUAAAGCGUGUGUAUGCGGUCUUUCGUCUACUGUUCAAGAGUUAGUGAGUGUUAACCAUCAGUGGCAAAAGGAUUACAACAAAGUAGUUAUUGAACGUGACGAGUAUAAAGAUCGAUUAUAUAAAACCCAAGAUGAGUUGAAAAAAUUGCAUUUUGCAUUAAAGGAAAAGGCUAAUGUUCCAUCAUAUAUAGCUUUGCCACCAAGUGCUGUACCAAAACGGGAAGAAAGUUUAUCCAUGGAUGACAUUGAAGCAUUAAAGCAGCAAGCAAUAGCUUAUAAAGAGGAUUUCUUGAUGACUAAGCGUGAACUUCUUAAUGCUUUCGGUGAACUGAAAGAUGCUAAAGCAGAGGUAGAAAGGUAUAAAGAAGAAACUAGAAGACUUUUUAAUGAAAAUAACAAACUGAAAGAAAAUUUCAAUCGUGUUGAUGCCGAAAAGCAACACAUUCUAAAUGAGUUGCAGAGAUUGACUAGCAUGAGUAACUUUCAGGGUCUUGGUUUAUAUGAACAAACUGAAGUGAAAGGUUAUCUGGAACGUGACGGAUGAAUAAGAUAUUUAGAUAAUAAAAGUAGCUGAAAAUAACUUCGUUUAUUGUAAACAUAAAAAAACCACGAGACAUUUAAAUUUUUAAGUGCAUAGUUUUAUAAAACUGGUUUAUUAAAUUUUUUUCUUUUUUUUUUUUUUUUUUUUUUGUCUUUUUUAUAUGAUUUUAUUUAAUUAAGAUGUUAUACAACAACAUAGUUUUAAAGUUUAACAAAUCAAUAUUUAACUAUGUGUUGAAUGUUAUAAAUCUGUUCGAACUGCAACUGUCUUUGAAAUUUUGAAAGUUGACUUUUUUGUUAUUGUUGCUUUUUCAACUGAAAUAUUCAUUAAUAAUGGAAAAAAAAAAACUAAUAUCAUCAACUAAUUUUGCUCAGUUAUUCAUAAAUUAGUUUAUGUCUCUAAUGAUGACGGAAUAAUAACGCUAACACAUUUAAUGUUAAUACCUAACAUCUGCUAUAAUAUAACUAUAGUAAAUUUAACAUUUAAUCAAUAUCGUAAUCAACAACAGUUAUAGCCCUGUAAAGAAGAGAAUUUGGGUUGCAAGUUUUUUUGCGGUAUUAGUCUUUAAAUUUGCAUUCUUAUAAAUAGCAGAUGUAUGAUACAAGUAAAUGCAACCACUUGUCAAGCAUUUAAUUUUAAAGCAUGCUAACAUCUGAAUUAAACAAAUUCAAUUUUUUGAUUUUAGUUUUACGAAAUAUACACUUAUCGUUUAACUUAUCACUUAAUAUCAUAAAGUUAUGUUGAACGCAGUUUGAUUAUUUUGUACACUAUAUUUUAAUGUAACUUAAAGGUGAAUUGUAAUUGGUAAAUUAUUUGUUGAUUAAAGUGAUUUACUUCAUGGGACCAGAAUUAAUAAAAAUUAUAUAUUUUGUUUAACAUAAAAAUCUAAAUAAAGUUGA